rnacentral:sRNA from 1 species
GUCUCCAAAAAAAAGGAGAUAAAAAAUUAGUUACUAUCACAUCGGAUUGUUUUGAAGAUUAAAAGAGAUAAGAUAUGGUAUGUGCUGAGAACAGUUUCUGGCAAUGGUAGGGAUGAAUAAAUGUUAUUUUUAUUUCUUUUUCUUAGGACAGUGAGGAGGAAUUUGGUUCUGAGCGAGAUGA